UACAGAGGUCUCAAGCGUUGUUCGGAUUUACUGGGCGUAAAGGGCGCGUAGGCGGCAUGACAAGUCACUUGUGAAAUCUCUGGGCUUAACCCAGAACGGCCAAGUGAUACUGUCACGCUAGAGUGCAGAAGGGGCAAUCGGAAUUCUUGGUGUAGCGGUGAAAUGCGUAGAUAUCAAGAGGAACACCUGAGGUGAAGACGGGUUGCUGGGCUGACACUGACGCUGAAGCGCGAAAGCCAGGGGAGCAAACGGG
rnacentral:rRNA from 1 species